UACGUAGGGGGCAAGCGUUGUCCGGAAUCAUUGGGCGUAAAGCGCGCGUAGGCGCCCGGUAAGUCCGCUCUGAAAGUCCAGGGCUCAACCCUGGAAAGCGGGUGGAUACUGCCGGGCUAGAAUCCGGAAGAGGCGAGUGGAAUUCCUGGUGUAGCGGUGGAAUGCGCAGAUAUCAGGAGGAACACCAAUAGCGAAGGCAGCUCGCUGGGGACGGUAUUGACGCUA
rnacentral:rRNA from 1 species